rnacentral:lncRNA from 1 species
AUGCUGCUGCCUUGCUUUGCUCUGCUUUGCUUUUCUCUUUUCUCUUUCCUUUUCUCUUUUAUUCUUUUUUAUUCUAUUCUAUUUUUAUUCUUUUCUAUUCUAUUUUCUAUUCUAUUUUCUAUUCUAUUCUUUUUUAUUCUUCUCUUUCUAUUCUAUUCUUUUCCAUUCUUUUUUAUUCCUUUCUAUUCUAUUUUCUAUUCUAUUCUUUUUCUUUUCUGUUCUAUUCCAUUCUUUAUUAUUUUCUAUUCUAUUCCUUUUUUACUUUCUAUUCUAUUCUAUUCUAUUCUAUUCUAUUCUAUUCUAUUCUAUUCUUCUCUAUUCUAUUCUUCUCUAUUCCUUUAUAUUCUAUUCCUUUCUAUUCUAUUCUUUUCUAUUCUUUUCUGUUUUCUAUUCUAUUUUCUAUUCUAUUCUAUUCUAUUUUUUAUUUUUCUUUCUAUUCUAUUGUAUUCUAUUCUUUUCUAUACUAUACUAUUCUAUUCUAUUCUACUCCUUUUUUACUUUCUGUUCUAUUCUUUUUUAUUCCAUUCUACUCUUUUCUAUUCUAUUCUUUUUAUUCUAUUCUAUUCUAUUCUAUUCUAUUUUCUAUUUUAUUCUAUUCUAUUCUUUUUCUUUCUAUUCUAUUGUAUUCUAUUCUAUUGUAUUUGUUCUUUUCUAUACUAUACUAUUCUGUUCUUUUCUAUACUAUACUAUUCUAAUUUUUUAUUCUUUUCUAUUCUUUUCUAUUUUUUAUUCUAUUCUACUCUUUUCUAUUCUAUUCUUUUUUAUUCUUUUCUAUUCUAUUUUUCUUUUCUUUCUAUUCUAUUGUAUUCUAUUCUUUCUAUACUAUUCUAUUCUUUUCUGUUCUUUUCUAUUUUCUAUUCUUUUCUAUACUAUAUUCUAUUUUAUUCUUUUUUAUUCUAUUCUAUUCUGUUCUAUUCUUUCUAUUUUAUUCUAUUUUUCUUUUCUUUCUAUUCUUUUUUAUUCUUUCUAGUCUAUUCUUUUCUAUUCUAUUCUUUUCUAUUCCAUUAUUUUCUUUUCUAUUCUUUU